UCUCGUCUUCCCAUCAUUUCAUUUCCAGUUUGACGAUUUUUCGUUCAAAACUUCUUCUGAAUAGUUUCAUUUUUUUAGUUUUGAAGCUUUCUUCCUUCCUUUCCUUAUCUCCUGGCAUUUCCUAGUUUGGUUCGCGCAACUGAUCAUAUCUUCUUUGAUCUUUGGCAUACUCAGGGACCUCCAUUUCUAGGUAAACCUCCUCUUUCCUUCUUAGGGUUUCUGUUGCAAGAAUAUGUGUGAGAUUAUUUGCAGAUCUUGGUGUGUGUUGAAAACUGACGUUAUUGAACUCACUUAUUUUCUGCCGAAUAUCAUGAAUAUAUACCCCUAUCAUUGAUCGAUCUUGACCUUUGGUAUUGUAUUUUUUAAUUACUGCGAGGGAAUCUUAUUCAAAAAUGACUGACUGCCAUCCCCUAUCAACUCCUAUUUGAAUUGCUCUCCAACAAGCUAUUGCUUCAGCAGCAAAUGCAGAGCGCAGCAGAAUAAACGGCUUUGACAAGGGUUGAGUUGUUCUAAUACCCAGGUAAUCCACUGUACGAAAUUCAUACUCUGAUCCAUUAAAAAACCUUGAAAUGAUAAAGCUAUCCAUACAUCUAUUGUGACAGGACACUCUCGAAAAAGAUGGUCCAUUGUUUCAGCUCAUGCUUCACAUUGGGGACAGCUUGUGCUAUUUGAUAGCUUCCUGUGCUGCAUAUUCACAUUUGUAGGCAAAAAGUUUCAUGAUAGUCUCCAUAUUGUAAUUGUUAUUUUUGUUGGUAGAUUCAAGCUCCAAAGUUUUUUAUAAAAUUUUUUAUAGAUAAGUUGUAACACAUAAGCGCUAGGGUUUUCAUUCGAGCUCUGUAAUAGUUUAUAGGUACUUCGGACCGUGAAUUCACCCGACAACUCACCUCCUCAGAUGAUGAAAUCCUCAUGAGGUGUUCGUGCCAGAGGGAUUCGAAGAAUUCUUGCAGCGUCUUCUCCUGUGAAGAUUUUACUACUGUGCAUUCUUGAAGAUCAUGCCCCAUUUUUCCACAGCCAAAACAGAAUUUCAGUAAUUUCUCGUACUUGAAAGGGAUCCAAUAUCUGUUCCCAUUGCUUCUUAAAACAAAUAUUCCCCUACGAAGGGGUUUCUGUACAUUUAAUUUGAUUCUAAGGCGGCAAAACUCACCAUUAACUUCAGAUCUGAGAACACCUCCAAAAGUAACCCCUAUGGCAUGCAAGAGAUCUUUUUUAUCAAAUUCUGGUAAACACGGCCCAAUCUUGAUUCAAAACGGGGAUGAAACUAGUUUGAUCUGAUCUCUUUCCUUUGGUUUAGUCAAUCGAUCAAAGAUGACUAAACUUUUCCUAAACAACCAUGGCUGUCCUUCCAUAAUAGUUUCUAAAUCU